rnacentral:rRNA from 1 species
GAGUUUGAUCCUGGCUCAGAACGAACGCUGGCGGCGUGCCUAACACAUGCAAGUCGAACGUGAUCCAGAGCUUGCUCUGGUGAAAGUGGCGCACGGGUGAGUAACGCGUGGAUAACCUACCCUGGUAUCCGGGAUAACAUUCCGAAAGGGGUGCUAAUACCGGAUAAGCCCACGGGCUCUUUGGAGCUUGCGGGAAAAGGUGGCCUCUAUUUAUAAGCUACUGUAUCAGGAUGGGUCCGCGUACCAUUAGCUAGUUGGCGGUGUAACGGACCACCAAGGCGACGAUGGUUAGCUGGUCUGAGAGGAUGAUCAGCCACACUGGAACUGAGACACGGUCCAGACUCCUACGGGAGGCAGCAGUGGGGAAUUUUGCGCAAUGGGCGAAACCCUGACGCAGCAACGCCGCGUGAGUGAUGAAGGCCUUUGGGUCGUAAAGCUCUGUCAGAGGGGAAGAAAUGAUAUAGUGCUAAUACCACUUUAUCUUGACGCUACCCUCAAAGGAAGCACCGGCUCACUCCGUGCCAGCAGCCGCGGUAAUAC